AUGUUCUACACCCCCAACCCAGAGCAGAGGAACAACCCAUCCAGAGACAGCCAGAGUCCUGUCAGCUCAGAGGAGGACCUGGAUGUGACAGUGGAGGUGUGUAGGGCUGCUGACAGUAGGACUGUACCAGAGGAGCAGAAGCUGGAGACCAAACACGGGAAGUGUCAGCCUGUACAGGAGUCAGAUGAGAUUGACAUAAACCCCACUGUCAGUCAGCACGUACCCUUUCCAAUGGCCAGUGGUCUACCUGACCUGGCUGAUGUCUCCAGCAUCACGUGCUCACCCGCCCAGCACCAUGAGUGGUUGGGCCAGGAGAGACUGCAACCCAGCCCCCUGAACAGACGGCCUCCGCCCUGCUACAGCACCCCACGCAGCCCAGCGACUGCGCCCAACUACAGAGCCAUGGGGGUCACUGGGGAGCCCAUCCCCCCUCUGCCCAGCCUGCUGGACACCUCCACCUGGGGCAGCACCCGCUCCCUGCCCCCCCACACCGAGAGCUUCGCCAUUGCCAGCCUGGGAGCCAGCACGACAGACCUCUCCAGACAGACCUCACCCCUGAUGAGAGACUCCUCCCUCGAGGAGACUGGGACGCACGUGGGCGUGUCAGAGUUCACCACAGCCAGCUCCGGAGAGAGACGGACCACAGGGACCAGCCAGGAGGGCGUGGGCUCUACCUACACCGUACCCACCACCAGCCAAGAAAGGGAGGAGGUGGAGGAGAGAGAGAGUUUAGAGGAGAAGAACAUGGAGUAUCUCGAAGGGGAGAGAGGCAUGUCGCUGGCUGCUGACAGGAAAGAAGAGUUGGAAGGGUCCGAUCAGGGUAGCUGUGCUGGUGUGGAUGUCGACCUGAUUGAUGAAGAUCCUCUGGAUGCUAGCUCCUCUGUUUUAGAGGGAGAAGAUGAACUUGUGUCAGAUGAGGAAGAGUUGCAUGGCGAAGAGGAGACAGACCAUGAGGAUGAAGAUGUGAUUAAUGAUCAAGUGCUAACUGACGAAGAGGGUUCUGUGGCCAGUACACAGCAGGCAGAGACAUCAGGAGCUCACCAUGGCAGCACACACAGUGAAGAUUACCUUUCAGGCUGUGGUCCAGACACAGAGGGAGCUGCAGCAUCUGUACAGCAGAGCCAGGCCAAAGGCCUGUCUGGGGGCCCAGACUCACUGGAGGAGACUGACAGAGCUCACUCUACUCUGGAUGAGGUGCUGCAGGGCAUGUUGGUGGAAAGGGCCGCUGGUCAAAGGGUUCUGAAAAGUCCAGGUCUGGUUGCACACCCCAAACAGCAACUGGGUGUGUGUGAGCCCCAGGUGGAGGGCGAGUUGAGUGAGGAUGCAGGUUGUCCAGGAGGGGACCGUGCCGAAGUGGCAGAACGAAAGGGGGUCGACACCAAUGACUGGACAGAACCAGCACCUGUCGCAGAAAAGCUAGAAAUGGCUAGUCAUGAGACCUGGAGUCAGCCUCACAGGGUUAUUGUCCUGGAGCAGACUCCCAUCAAAAGCCAAAGUGACCCCAACCAAGUGAGAUUGAGAAAGAACAUGUAG
rnacentral:lncRNA from 1 species